rnacentral:rRNA from 1 species
GGGGAAUAUUGCACAAUGGAGGAAACUCUGAUGCAGCGAUGCCGCGUGAGGGAAGAAGGUUUUCGGAUUGUAAACCUCUGUGUACAGGGACGAUAAUGACGGUACCUGUUCAAAAAGCUCCGGCUAACUACGUGCCAGCAGCCGCGGUAAUACGUAGGGAGCGAGCGUUGUCCGGAAUUACUGGGUGUAAAGGGAGUGUAGGCGGGACGGCAAGUCAGAUGUGAAAUUUAGGGGCUCAACCCCUGACCUGCAUUUGAAACUGCUGUUCUUGAGUGAAGUAGAGGUAAGCGGAAUUCCUAGUGUAGCGGUGAAAUGCGUAGAUAUUAGGAGGAACAUCAGUGGCGAAGGCGGCUUACUGGGCUUUAACUGACGCUGAGGCUCGAAAGCGUGGGGAGCAAACAGGAUUAGAUACCCUGGUAGUCCACGCCGUAAACGAUGAUUACUAGGUGUGGGGGGACUGACCCCUUCCGUGCCGCAGUUAACACAAUAAGUAAUCCACCUGGGGAGUACGGUCGCAAGACUGAAACUCAAAGGAAUUGACGGGGGCCCGCACAAGCAGUGGAGUAUGUGGAUUAAUUCGAAGCAACGCGAAGAACCUUACCAGGUCUUGACAUCGAUCGAAUCCGAAAGAGAUUUUGGAGUGCCCUUCGGGGAACGUGAAGACAGGUGGUGCAUGGUUGUCGUCAGCUCGUGUCGUGAGAUGUUGGGUUAAGUCCCGCAACGAGCGCAACCCUUAUGUUUAGUUGCUACGCAAGAGCACUCUAGACAGACUGCCGUUGACAAAACGGAGGAAGGUGGGGAUGACGUCAAAUCAUCAUGCCCCUUAUGACCUGGGCCUCACACGUACUACAAUGGCUGUAAACAGAGGGAAGCUAAGCAGUGAUGUGGAGCAAAUCCCCAAAAGCAGUCUUAGUUCGGAUUGUAGGCUGCAACCCGCCUACAUGAAGUCGGAAUUGCUAGUAAUCGCGGAUCAGCAUGUCGCGGUGAAUACGUUCCCG